rnacentral:rRNA from 1 species
UGGGGAAUUUUGGACAAUGGGGGCAACCCUGAUCCAGCCAUGCCGCGUGAGUGAAGAAGGCCUUCGGGUUGUAAAGCUCUUUCGGCGGGGACGAAACGGUCCGUGACAACACCACGGACUAAUGACAGUACUCGCAGAAGAAGCACCGGCUAACUACGUGCCAGCAGCCGCGGUAAUACGUAGGGUGCAGGCGUUAAUCGGAAUUACUGGGCGUAAAGCGUGCGCAGGCGGCUCCUUAAGUCAGAUGUGAAAUCCCCGGGCUUAACCUGGGAACUGCGUUUGAAACUGAGGGGCUAGAGUGUGGAAGAGGGGGGUGGAAUUCCAGGUGUAGCAGUGAAAUGCGUAGAGAUCUGGAGGAACACCUGAGGUGAAGACGGGUUGCUGGGCUGACACUGACGCUGAGGCGCGAAAGCCAGGGGANCAAACGGGAUUAGAUACCCAAGUAGUCCCUGAGCGGGCUGGCAAGGCGCAU